CCUACGGGUGGCAGCAGUGGGGAAUAUUGCGCAAUGGGCGAAAGCCUGAUGCAGCGACGCCGCGUGAGGGAUGAAGGUCUUCGGAUCGUAAAGCUCUGUUAGUAGGGAAGAACGUUCAUUGUGCUAAUUAGUAGUGAAUUGACGGUAUCCGCAAAGGAAGUACCGGCUAACUCCGUGCCAGCAGCCGCGGUAAUACGGAGGGUGCGAGCGUUAACCGGAAUUUCUGGGGGUAAAGCGUUCGUGGGCGGUCUGUCAAGUCAAGGGUGAAAUCCCCGGGCUCAACGCGGGAACUGCCGUUGAAACGGGCAGACUUGAGUGUGAGAGAAGAUAGUGGAAUGCGAGGUGUAGGGGUGAAAUGCGUAGAUAUCGCGAGGAAC
rnacentral:rRNA from 1 species